rnacentral:rRNA from 1 species
UACGUAGGGGGCAAGCGUUGUCCGGAAUCAUUGGGCGUAAAGCGCGUGUAGGCGGCUCGAUACGUCUGCUGUGAAAGUCCAGGGCUCAACCCUGGGAUGCCGGUGGAUACUGUCGAGCUCGAGUCCGGAAGAGGCGAGUGGAAUUCCUGGUGUAGCGGUGAAAUGCGCAGAUAUCAGGAGGAACACCAAUGGCGAAGGCAGCUCGCUGGGACGGUACUGACGCUGAGGAGCGAAAGCGUGGGGAGCGAACAGG